rnacentral:miRNA from 1 species
GUGUAAAGCAUAUAUGCUUGG